GCUGAUCCUGCUGGAGGAUACUGCUAUCGAAAUCCGAUUUAGACAUGCAAGUCUUAAAGACGUAUACGGCGUCUUUGGCGAACGGCUCAGUAACACGUGGGUAAUCUACCCUUGGGAUUUGUUAAACCCGGGAAACUGGGGUCAAUGCAUAAUAGGCAACUUGUACUGGAAUGUCUUGCUGCCCAAAGCUCUCGCACCAUGCGAGCAAGCGCCCAAGGAUGAGCCUGCGGUGGAUUAGGUCGUUGGCGGGGUAAAUGCCCACCAAGCCUUUGAUCCAUACGGGCCUUGAGAGAGGUAGCCCGGAGAAGGACACUGAGAUAAGGGUCCUAGCCCCACGGGGUGCAGCAGUCGCGGAACCUUUACAAUGCGCGAAAGCGUGAUAGGGGGAUUUCGAGUGCAAGCUUUGCUUGCUUUUGCCAAGCCCAAAAAGCUUGGCGAAUAAAUGGGGGGCAAGAUACGUGCCAGCCGCCGCGGUAACACGUACUCCAUGAGUGGUAUCCACUUAUAUUGGGCCUAAAACGUCCGUAGCUUGCCCGAAAAGUCCUCGGUGAAAGCAGCAGGCUUAACUUGCUGAAUUGCCAAGGAUACUAUCGGGCUAGAGGCCGGAAGAGGUCAAGGGAAUUUCAGGGGUAGCGGUGAAAUGUUAUGAUCCUUGAAAGACCUCCAGUAGCGAAGGCGCUUGACCAGAACGGUCCUGACAGUGAGGGACGAAAGCUGGGGGAGCGACCCGGAUUAGAUACCCGGUUAGUCCCAGCCGUAAACGAUGUGGACUUGGUGUCCUAGCACUUACUAAGGUGCAGGGGUGCCGUAGGGAAGCCGUUAAGUCCACUGCCAGGGAAGUACGCUCGCAAGGGUGAAACUUAAUGGAAUUGGCGGGAGCUCACUACAAGGGGUGGAUGCUGCGGUUCAAUUGGAUAAAACCCCAGAUAAUCUUACCAGGGCCGACAGCAGGAUGAUGGACAGUCUGAAGGGCUUUCCUGACACGCUGAGAGGUGUUGUAUGGUCAUCGUCAGCUCGUACUAUGAAGCGUCCUGUUAACUCAGGCAACGGGCGAGACCCAAUCCCAUAGUUGCUAUUCUCCAAUUUGGGGGAGCACUCUAUGGGGACUGCAGUGGUAACACUGAGGAAGGACUGGGCUACGGUAGAUCUGUAUGGCCCGAAUGCCCUGGGCUACACGCGGCAUACAAUGGCUGAGACAAUGAGUUCCGAACCCGAAAGGGCAAGGUAAUCCCCUAAAAUCAGCCUUAGUUCGGAUCGAGGGUUGUAACCCACCCUCGUGAAAAUGGAAUCCCCAGUAAUCGCGCUUCAUUAUAGCGCGGUGAAUAAGUCCCUGAGCUUUGCACACACCGCCCAUCAAGCCAGUUGAGUGGAGUUUAGAUGAGCUAUCUUCAUAAGAAAAUCGCGAUUCUGAGCUUCGCAAGACGGGCUAAGUUGUAACAAGGUG
rnacentral:rRNA from 1 species